AUUGAACGCUGGCGGUAGGCCUAACACAUGCAAGUCGAACGGCAGCACAGUAAGAGCUUGCUCUUACGGGUUGCGAGUGGCGGACGGGUUAGGAAUACAUCGGAAUCUACUUUUUCGUGGGGGAGAACGUAGGGAAACUUACGCUAAUACCGCAUACAACCUACGGGUGAAAGCAGUGGAUCUUCGGCCCUUGCGCGAUUGAAGGAGCCGAUGUCGGAUUAGCUAGUUGGCGGGGUAAAGGCCCACCAAGGCGACGAUCCGUAGCUGGUCUGAGAGGAUGAUCAGCCACACUGGAACUGAGACACGGUCCAGACUCCUACGGGAGGCAGCAGUGGGGAAUUUUGGACAAUGGGCGCAAGCCUGAUCCAGCAAUACCGCGUGGGUGAAGAAGGCCUUCGGGUUGUAAAGCCCUUUUGUUGGGAAAGAAAACCAGCAGGUUAAUACCCCGCUGUUCUGACGGUACCCAAAGAAUAAGCACCGGCUAACUUCGUG
rnacentral:rRNA from 1 species